rnacentral:misc_RNA from 1 species
UAAUGAUAUAUUUCAAUACAAUAAAAAAAAUCGUGUGUGUAAUAAAAACAUAGACUUUGCAAUAAAGUCUACACAAAGUGCACAAAAAAUCCAAUAAUGAUCCUUCCGCAGGUUCACCUACGGAAA